AUACGUAGGGUGCGAGCGUUGUCCGGAAUUACUGGGCGUAAAGAGCUCGUAGGUGGUUUGUCGCGUCGUCUGUGAAAUUCCGGGGCUUAACUCCGGGCGUGCAGGCGAUACGGGCAUAACUUGAGUACUGUAGGGGAGACUGGAAUUCCUGGUGUAGCGGUGAAAUGCGCAGAUAUCAGGAGGAACACCAGUGGCGAAGGGGGGUCUCUGGGCAGUAACAGACGCUGAGGAGCGAGAGCAUGGGUGGCGACCAGGGUUAGAUACCCUGGUAGUCCAUGCCGUAAACGGUGGGCGAUAGGUGUAGGGGUCUUCCACGACUUCUGUGCCGUAGCUAACGCAUUAAGCGCCCCGCCUGGGGAGUACGGCCGCAAGGCUAAAACUCAAAUGAAUUGACGGGG
rnacentral:rRNA from 1 species